CUGCUAAUACAAAAACUUCCUUCCAAAAAAAGAGUAAAUGCUUUUUAUGGCAUGAUAUUGGUGAUAUGCAAAUAAUUUAAACAGUAGCUACUGAAAGAUUCUUAAGUAUAUUUUAGAUUAUUAAAGAAAGAUUAUAUCCAAAGUUAUAAUUUUUGUUGGAAAAUUAGUAAUUUAUUUAUAUUAUAUAUCAGAAAUCUAAUUAGAAUAGCUUAUUCUACAAUCUUUCUGAAUAAACAGUAGCUGACUAUUAAAAAUUCUCAGUUCUUUAACGCUUAGAUUUUCUAUUGUUUCCAAUUUAGAAUGUGUUGUCUCCUGCUCUAAAAUGGUUUUUAGAAAUAGCUUUGAAUACCUUCAGUACCAUCUAAAAAGUACAAAGCAGAAAGCAUAAGGAGUUCUUAGAAAAAGAGAAAUUAAUAAGUUUUAAAAACCCCCUUUUCCAGACCCUUUCUUCUACUUUUUAGCCGUUAAUCCUUCUUUCUUUGUCCACUUGUCUGGUUCUGUUUUUCCAACAGUUUAUGUAGUAAGAAGGCUUUAGGUAGUUUUAAUGACACUUACUAAUAAAACCAGUUUUCAGGUUAGCAAAUAAAUGGUAGCCAGGGACUUUCCAGUCUAAGGAAAAUCAAGAACAAAUCAUUAUUUUCUUUUUCUUUUCAUGUUUAGAGUUAUUUUCAUUUUUUAUUCUACCAAAACACUGAUUAAAGAAUAUAAAGGCUUAAAAGCAUGUAUCAUAUAUAAGAGUUUGUAGUUAGGGACCUUCAAUCUGCUUUGAUGUGUAUUUUUUUUCCAGUUGUAGUUUUAAAAGUUAAAGUGGACCCAACAUUAUUAACCUAUUUAAUUCACUGCUAUUUGAA
rnacentral:lncRNA from 1 species